CAGUCGAACGAACUCUGGUAUUGAUUGGUGCUUGCAUCAUGAUUUACAUUUGAGUGAGUGGCGAACUGGUGAGUAACACGUGGGAAACCUGCCCAGAAGCGGGGGAUAACACCUGGAAACAGAUGCUAAUACCGCAUAACAACUUGGACCGCAUGGUCCGAGCUUGAAAGAUGGCUUCGGCUAUCACUUUUGGAUGGUCCCGCGGCGUAUUAGCUAGAUGGUGGGGUAACGGCUCACCAUGGCAAUGAUACGUAGCCGACCUGAGAGGGUAAUCGGCCACAUUGGGACUGAGACACGGCCCAAACUCCUACGGGAGGCAGCAGUAGGGAAUCUUCCACAAUGGACGAAAGUCUGAUGGAGCAACGCCGCGUGAGUGAAGAAGGGUUUCGGCUCGUAAAACUCUGUUGUUAAAGAAGAACAUAUCUGAGAGUAACUGUUCAGGUAUUGACGGUAUUUAACCAGAAAGCCACGGCUAACUACGUGCCAGCAGCCGCGGUAAUACGUAGGUGGCAAGCGUUGUCCGGAUUUAUUGGGCGUAAAGCGAGCGCAGGCGGUUUUUUAAGUCUGAUGUGAAAGCCUUCGGCUCAACCGAAGAAGUGCAUCGGAAACUGGGAAACUUGAGUGCAGAAGAGGACAGUGGAACUCCAUGUGUAGCGGUGAAAUGCGUAGAUAUAUGGAAGAACACCAGUGGCGAAGGCGGCUGUCUGGUCUGUAACUGACGCUGAGGCUCGAAAGUAUGGGUAGCAAACAGGAUUAGAUACCCUGGUAGUCCAUACCGUAAACGAUGAAUGCUAAGUGUUGGAGGGUUUCCGCCCUUCAGUGCUGCAGCUAACGCAUUAAGCAUUCCGCCUGGGGAGUACGGCCGCAAGGCUGAAACUCAAAGGAAUUGACGGGGGCCCGCACAAGCGGUGGAGCAUGUGGUUUAAUUCGAAGCUACGCGAAGAACCUUACCAGGUCUUGACAUACUAUGCAAAUCUAAGAGAUUAGACGUUCCCUUCGGGGACAUGGAUACAGGUGGUGCAUGGUUGUCGUCAGCUCGUGUCGUGAGAUGUUGGGUUAAGUCCCGCAACGAGCGCAACCCUUAUUAUCAGUUGCCAGCAUUAAGUUGGGCACUCUGGUGAGACUGCCGGUGACAAACCGGAGGAAGGUGGGGAUGACGUCAAAUCAUCAUGCCCCUUAUGACCUGGGCUACACACGUGCUACAAUGGAUGGUACAACGAGUUGCGAACUCGCGAGAGUAAGCUAAUCUCUUAAAGCCAUUCUCAGUUCGGAUUGUAGGCUGCAACUCGCCUACAUGAAGUCGGAAUCGCUAGUAAUCGCGGAUCAGCAUGCCGCGGUGAAUACGUUCCCGGGCCUUGUACACACCGCCCGUCACACCAUGAGAGUUUGUAACACCCAAAGUCGGU
rnacentral:rRNA from 1 species